AAGACUAUACUUACAGGGAUUUUUUCCUCAUAUCUAUUAGAGGUUUCUCUGAGUGUACAGAGCAUUAGCAACUACCAGGAGGAGGCACAUCUUCUCAUCUGAGCAUGGAACUGGCUUUAGGUGUUAGUUUCACAACUACCUGUUGCCAUUGAGGAUCAGUCUUUUCUUUCUUUGGGAGCACAAGGGAUGAAGACAUAUUCUGAGU